rnacentral:rRNA from 1 species
GACGGGGGAUGUAAGCGUUAUCCGGAAUCACUGGGCGUAAAGCGUCUGUAGGUGGUGAUGCAAGUCACUGGUGCAAAACUCUGGCUCAACCGGAGGAAAGCCAGUGAAACUGCAUGACUAGAGUGUGGGAGAGGUAGAAGGAAUUCCAUGAGUAGCGGUGAAAUGCGUAGAUACAGGGAAGAACACCGGAGGCGAAAGCGUUCUACUGGAACACAACUGACACUGAGAGACGAAGGCUAGGGGAGCGAAUGGG